GGCGCCCACAUGGCCUGGUUUAUAUUUCCAUUAGUUGGUUGAUCAAAUUAAUUCAUUAAAAUCAAAUUAAUUUACAUGCAUUAGAAUGUUAUCUUAGAGGAUAACCAUGAGGUUUCUGUGUACAAAAUAAAUUAAUUAUCAACGGAAAAAAUACAGGGAACAAAGAUUCUGUAGAGAAAAAAACAAACAAAAAAACUUUAUACUUGUAUAAGAAAUAAAGUGGUAUUAAUGUAACUCUGAGACUCCACAUAUUAUAUUGGCACAAAUGAAACCAUUGUGACACUUAGCUAAAACAGUGAACAGUUCUGGAUUUCUAAUACUCAUCAGCAGAAUAAAAACAAAAACAUUUUGAUCUCUGUGUUUAAAAAAAAAGAAAAAAAUACAGGUAUAUUUUGCCAAACUGAUUACCAUGUACACUUUUAACAGCGCUAUUUGGUAAAGAAUAUUGUACACAUGAACUAUCUGUAGUUUUGGCUCCACCUUGUGGCAAGUGCACUUAAAAACAAAGAUAAGUAGAACCGUCCAAACUUUGGCUGCAAUUCCUAAUAUUUUUUGAUUAUCUUCAUAAGAAAUUAAACACCAAUGUUCUUGUGUUCUUGCAUUGCAUCACAGUAAAGAAAUUAAGGAAGGAACCUUCGAUAAACAUCACAGUUUAAUAAAGUGCAAAUGAAAUCAGGAUUAACAGAGGUCAACUCUGUAAUACAAAACCAAUAAUUAAAAAAAAAAAACAACAGAAAACAGGAGUUUACGUAAUCUGUGAUAAAAUAUACAGUUAUUAUAUUUAAAGCAACAACAUGCUUAAUUUCUAACAUGGUAGUGACUGAUUAAACAGGACAGCUAAAA